GGUGAUUAUUGUUACAAUGUCCGUUGGUGCGUAAUAAUCAACCAUUAAGGGAGACAGCGGGAAUGGCCCGUCCAAUGAGGCUGCGACUGGUCCGUCCGACGACGCAACGUCAGCAGCUACAACUGGCCGGUCCGACGCCGCCACAACCGGUCCAUCCAACGCCACUGCUACUGGUCCGUCCAACGCCGUGGCAACUGGCCCGUCGGAUGACGACCGUAACUUCGGCAGCUGCCCUGGGUCCUGAUCGACCCGCACUGCGUUCCUGUGAUGGUCCUCGAGGCCGGUGUCGUUGCCCUGCUAGUGCAGCGCGUCGCGGGGGUACUGUCACAGAUCCCUCAAACUUUCAUUACGCACACCUGUCCCCUAUUCCCACUGAUUAGUACUUGUAUAAGUGUGCCCUUUGGUUUCCAUUGGGCUGUUGAUUAUUGUUCCAAUGUCCGUUGGUUCAUGUGAGUACCUGUGCUGUGUGUUUUGGCUUUCGUGCCAUUGUGGAUUGUGCAGAUGAUUAUGGGUCUCGUCCCGUGUGUUAAUCAUCAUGCGCUUGUGUUAUUUAUUUGAGGUACUCCUCGCUCUUUUGUUUGGGUUUCAACCCUAUGUUUUGUAUAGUGUUUAUUUGGGCUUCGUCCCAUUUACACGGCACGCUGUAAUUUGGGAAUAAAAAUCCCUGUUACGCA